GAAAUGCGAUAAGUAAUGUGAAUUGCAGAAUUCAGUGAAUCAUCGAAUCUUUGAACGCACCUUGCGCUCCUUGGUAUUCCUUGGAGCAUGCCUGUUUGAGUAUCAUGAAAUCUUCAAAGUAAAUCUUUUGUUAACUCAAUUGGUUUCUACUUUGGUAUUGGAGGUCUUUGCAGCUUCACACCUGCUCCUCUUUGUUCAUUAGCUGGAUCUCAGUGUUAUGCUUGGUUCCACUCGGCGUGAUAAGUUAUCUAUCGCUGAGGACACUGUAAAAGGUGGCCAAGGUAAAUGCAGAUGAACCGCUUCUAAAAGUCCAUUGACUUGGACAAUACUUUUAUGAUCUGAUCUCAAAUCAGGUAGGACUACCCGCUGAACUUAAGC
rnacentral:misc_RNA from 1 species